ACCUGGCUGGCUCAGUUGGUAGAGCAUGUGACUCUUGAUCUCAGGGUUGUAGGUUCGAGCCCCAUAUUGGGUG
rnacentral:tRNA from 1 species